AAGAUAAAUUUGAAAGCUGCUGAUGACUUCAUUUUGAUUCCCAUCCCCACUGUUUGGAGAAGAAUAAAACUUUAUAUGUAAUCCUACAAAGCUGUCAGAAGGAGGAGCUCUUUGAGAGUGUUUUUGAUUUCUGACAUCUAAGUGUGCUGUCAUUCUGUGACAUAAAACAUCAUGUGGCUCUAUUUACCUUUGCUCCUUUCAGCACUUGUAGGAGACUCUCUUGGUGAUCUAAUAACAUCUCAUGGUUCUGAAAAACAAGCUCAAGAUGGUAACAGUGUUACUCUCUCCUGCAACUACACUGGCACUGUUUAUAAUCUACUGUGGUAUCGUCAGUAUCAAAGAUCCAAACCAGAACUCCUUCUGUACAUGACUGAAUCUGGAGAUCCAGUUAAAGAAGAUCCAUCAGCCCACUGGUUAUCUGCUAAAGUUGACAAACACAGAAAGCUCAUGGAUCUGGAAAUCAGCCCUGCUAAAGUAUCAGACUCCGCACAGUAUUACUGUGCCCUGCAGCCCACAGUGACAGGAAACUCUUUUCUCCUGUACAAAAACUUGCCAGUGGUAGAGCGUAACAUCUAAAAGCUGACAGACUGGCUGACAAUGUAUUUGACUUUUAUUCAACUGUUUUUAUU